AAUAGAUACCCAGGUAGUCCAUGCCGUAAACGUUGGGCACUAGGUGUGGGGGACAUUCCACGUUUUCCGCGCCGUAGCUAACGCAUUAAGUGCCCCGCCUGGGGAGUACGGCCGCAAGGCUAAAACUCAAAGGAAUUGACGGGGGCCCGCACAAGCGGCGGAGCAUGCGGAUUAAUUCGAUGCAACGCGAAGAACCUUACCAAGGCUUGACAUGAACCGGACCGGGCUGGAAACAGUCUUUCCCCUUGUGGGCUGGUUUACAGGUGGUGCAUGGUUGUCGUCAGCUCGUGUCGUGAGAUGUUGGGUUAAGUCCCGCAACGAGCGCAACCCUCACCCCAUGUUGCCAUCGGGUCAUGCCGGGAACUCUUGGGGAACUGCCUGGGUAACCGGGAGGAAGGUGGGGAUGACGUCAAGUCAGCAUGGCCCUUACGCCCUGGGCUACAAACAUGCUACAAUGGACGGUAGACAAAGGGAUCCGAGACCGCGAGGUGGAGGCAAUCUCAAAAUCCGUUCCCAGUUCAGAUCGCAGGCUGCAACUCGCCUG
rnacentral:rRNA from 1 species